CACUGGUCCGAUGGUAGUGGGUUAUCAGAACUUAUUAACAUUACUGUCACUAAAGUUAGUCUCCAAUCCCCCGCCCCCACUGCUAAAUUUGACUGGCUAG
rnacentral:Y_RNA from 1 species